rnacentral:tRNA from 1 species
CAGGGGGUAUUUUAUUUAAAAUGUUAGUUUUGGGGACUAUUGAAAUGGUGAAUACCUUUCCUCUGA